GAACUACUUCGAGAGUUGCGAAAUUCUAUGAGGAAGUGGAUAAACUCGACAGUUUAACAAGGAAUGAGUCUUGAUUUUUGUCUUUAUGGUGACACAGCGAAACCUGUAUUCACUGCAACAAAGUAGCCCUUGUAUGCAACACGAAAGAAAUAUUAUGUUGAUGUUGCCUGGAGGUAGUUCCCUGUAAGUAUCAGUAGCCUAACAACUUGGACAUGAAAACCCUACAACUCUUACUCAACGUGGCAGUAAACAUUUGUGCUUUCUUUCGAUUUGUAAACUAAUCCCCAAAUUAAAAACGGAAUUUAACACGAUUUCUGAAUACAACAAUAUCUGUAUAUCGGGGGAAAAUCUCAUCAGUGAUAAAGUGUAGUCUUUUGUCAAAUGUUUAUUUUUUUUAAAGACACAGUAGAUUACAGGUUUACAGUAAACAGUAGGGGACAGGGUAACCGUCUAAACAUAACAUUAACUAUUUGAGAUAAUCAGUAGCCUGGGCAGUCUACUGUCUGAAUGACAAGGCAUCAUUUCCACAUGUUUCACUCCGGUGAAUUCCGUCUAAAGACCCAAAUAUAUAUAUUUUUUAUAGAAUCAGUGGAAAACUGGUGUGUGUCAGACUGACUCUGAGUUGCAUUUUGACAUUUUAAUAAUAGCAAAGUGAAUCACUGGUCAUAAGAUGGAGUGACAUCAUUGACGCUGUCAUUAUGAUGGUGAGGUUCUCAAGUGAAGAUGUUUUUGAAUGAUUCUGCAAAGGAGUCGGAGCGAAUGGAAUGUUUGAUUAUAUUGUGACACCACUCCACUGAUUCCGCUCCAGCCAUUACCACGAGCCCGUUCUCCCCAAUCAAGGUGCCACCAGCCUCCUUUGGACUAGAUUGUGAUCCAGGGAAUAAUAGGAGGUAGCUUGCGUCAGUGGGGUGUGAGAUCCAGGGAAUAAUGCCAGGUAGCUUGCAUCAGUGGGGUGUGAGAUCCAGGGAGUAAUAGGAGGUAGCUUGCAUCACUGGGGUAUGAGAUCCAGGGAAUAAUAGGAGGUAGCUUGCAUCAGUGGGGUGUGAGAUUCAGGGAAUAAUAGGAGGUAGCUUGCAUCAGUGGGGUGUGAGAUCCAGGGAAUAAUAGGAGGUAGCUUGCAUCAGUGGGGUGUACCUUGCAUCAGUGGGGUGUGAGAUCCAGGGAAUAAUAGGAGGUAGCUUGCGUCAGUGGGGUGUGAGAUCCAGGGAAUAAUAGGAGGUAGCUUGCGUCAGUGGGGUGUGAGAUCCAGGGAAUAAUAGGAGGUAGCUUGCGUCAGUGGGGUGUGGGAUCCAGGGAAUAAUAGGAGGUAGCUUGCGUCAGUGGGGUGUGAGAUCCAGGGAAUAAUAGGAGGUAGCUUGCGUCAGUGGGGUGUGAGAUCCAGGGAAUAAUAGGAGGCAGCUUGCGUCAGUGGGGUGUGAGAUCCAGGGAAUAAUAGGAGGUAGCUUGCGUCAGUGGGGUGUGAGAUCCAGGGAAUAAUAGGAGGUAGCUUGCGUCAGUGGGGUGUGAGAUCCAGGGAAUAAUAGGAGGUAGCUUGCGUCAGUGGGGUGUGAGAUCCAGGGAAUAAUAGGAGGUAGCUUGCGUCAGUGGGGUGUGAGAUCCAGGGAAUAAUAGGAGGUAGCUUGCGUCAGUGGGGUGUGAGAUCCAGGGAAUAAUAGGAGGUAGCUUGCGUCAGUGGGGUGUGAGAUCCAGGGAAUAAUAGGAGGUAGCUUGCGUCAGUGGGGUGUGAGAUCCAGGGAAUAAUAGGAGGUAGCUUGCGUCAGUGGGGUGUGAGAUCCAGGGAAUAAUAGGAGGUAGCUUGCGUCAGUGGGGUGUGAGAUCCAGGGAAUAAUAGGAGGUAGCUUGCGUCAGUGGGGUGUGAGAUCCAGGGAAUAAUAGGAGGUAGCUUGCGUCAGUGGGGUGUGAGAUCCAGGGAAUAAUAGGAGGUAGCUUGCGUCAGUGGGGUGUGAGAUCCAGGGAAUAAUAGGAGGUAGCUUGCGUCAGUGGGGUGUGAGAUCCAGGGAAUAAUAGGAGGUAGCUUGCGUCAGUGGGGUGUGAGAUCCAGGGAGUAAUAUUAGGUAGCUUGCGUCAGUGGGGUGUGAGAUCCAGGGAAUAAUGGCAGAUGGCUUGCGUCAGUGGGGUGUGAGAUCCAGGGAAUAAUAGGAGGUAGCUUGCGUCAGUGGGGUGUGAGAUCCAGGGAAUAAUAGGAGGUAGCUUGCGUCAGUGGGGUGUGAGAUCCAGGGAAUAAUAGGAGGUAGCUUGCGUCAGUGGGGUGUGAGAUCCAGGGAGUAAUAUUAGGUAGCUUGCGUCAGUGGGGUGUGAGAUCCAGGGAAUAAUGGCAGGUAGCUUGCGUCAGUGGGGUGUGAGAUCCAGGGAAUAAUAGGAGGUAGCUUGCGUCAGUGGGGUGUGAGAUCCAGGGAAUAAUAGGAGGUAGCUUGCGUCAGUGGGGUGUGAGAUCCAGGGAAUAAUAGGAGGUAGCUUGCGUCAGUGGGGUGUGAGAUCCAGGGAAUAAUAGGAGGUAGCUUGCGUCAGUGGGGUGUGAGAUCCAGGGAAUAAUAGGAGGUAGCUUGCGUCAGUGGGGUGUGAGAUCCAGGGAAUAAUAGGAGGUAGCUUGCGUCAGUGGGGUGUGAGAUCCAGGGAAUAAUGGCAGGUAGCUUGCGUCAGUGGGGUGUGAGAUCCAGGGAGUAAUAGGAGGUAGCUUGCGUCAGUGGGGUGUGAGAUCCAGGGAGUAAUAGGAGGUAGCUUGCGUCAGUGGGGUGUGAGAUCCAGGGAAUAAUGGCAGGUAGCUUGCGUCAGUGUGGUGUGAGAUCCAGGGAAUAAUGCCAGGUGUCAGUGGUGUGACUAACCUAAUCUGUGCUUCUUC